rnacentral:rRNA from 1 species
UACGGAGGGCGCUAGCGUUGUUCGGAAUUACUGGGCGUAAAGCGCACGUAGGCGGCUUUGUAAGUUAGGGGUGAAAGCCCGGAGCUCAACUCCGGAAUUGCCUUUAAGACUGCAUCGCUUGAAUCCGGGAGAGGUGAGUGGAAUUCCGAGUGUAGAGGUGAAAUUCGUAGAUAUUCGGAAGAACACCAGUGGCGAAGGCGGCUCACUGGACCGGUAUUGACGCUGAGGUGCGAAAGCGUGGGGAGCAAACAGG